UGGGGAAUUUUGGACAAUGGGCGAAAGCCUGNUCCAGCAAUGCCGCGUGUGUGAAGAAGGCCUUCGGGUUGUAAAGCACUUUUGUCCGGAAAGAAAUCCUUGGCUCUAAUACAGUCGGGGGAUGACGGUACCGGAAGAAUAAGCACCGGCUAACUACGUGCCAGCAGCCGCGGUAAUACGUAGGGUGCAAGCGUUAAUCGGAAUUACUGGGCGUAAAGCGUGCGCAGGCGGUUUGCUAAGACCGAUGUGAAAUCCCCGGGCUCAACCUGGGAACUGCAUUGGUGACUGGCAGGCUAGAGUAUGGCAGAGGGGGGUAGAAUUCCACGUGUAGCAGUGAAAUGCGUAGAGAUGUGGAGGAAUACCGAUGGCGAAGGCAGCCCCCUGGGCCAAUACUGACGCUCAUGCACGAAAGCGUGGGGAGCAAACAGGAUUAGAUACCCUGGUAGUCCACGCCCUAAAACGAUGUCAACUAGUUGUUGGGGAAUUCAUUUCCUUAGUAACGUAGCUAACGCGUGAAGUUGACCGCCUGGGGAGUACGUCGCAAGAUUAAAACUCAAAUGAAUUG
rnacentral:rRNA from 1 species